UACGUAGGCGGCAAGCGUUGUUCGGAAUUACUGGGCGUAAAGCGUGUGUAGGCGGUGUUUUAAGUCUGUUGUGAAAUCUCCCGGCUUAACUGGGAGGGUGCGGCGGAAACUGGAAUGCUAGAGGAUGGGAGAGGUAAGCGGAAUUCCUGGUGUAGCGGUGAAAUGCGUAGAUAUCAGGAGGAACACCUGUGGUGUAGACAGCUUACUGGACCAUUUCUGACGCUGAGACACGAAAGCGUGGGUAGCAAACAGG
rnacentral:rRNA from 1 species